CUGGCAACCAGGAUGCACCACCAAGGAGGCUGGGCUGCGGAGGAGAACCCAGCCUUUCUAAAGCCAAGGCACACCAGAAUUGAGACUAUUUUGGUAGCACCCUGAGGGUGAUAUACGAGGCCCCUGGAGUGUAGAAGGACCCACUGAGGAUCCAGCAACCCUGGACAGAAUGGCCUAAGUUUAGAUAGGACCAGUGCUCUGUCGUGAAUGGAGUGAGAACCAAAACCUCCAGGAUGGCACCAUUCUCUCUGGACCAGAGAUGGAAGGUCAACACCUCAGCCUCCUCCUUCACACAGCAGCAUUUUCUCUUCUGCCAGCGAGAGCUGCAUCUGUCAGAGAGCCAGGGAGUAGUGGCUGAUGGCCCCACGAAACAGAAUUGUUCCAGGGACGAAGCCUUUGAUGGAUUGGCUGCUCUGCUGGCUGCUUUGGUAAAAUGGGUCAUAAAUAUUAACAGGCUGACAAACAUGUCAUGUCACACCUGUGACCAAGAAACACCCAGGCUUCUACCACUUUGUUCUUUUGAUAGACACCAUCUCCUUCUCUCCUGAACUUGCUCUGAUGGGUCUAUUCCUCCACCACCCUCCUCAGAGGACCAGGGUUCAGUUCCCAACACCCCUAUCAGGUGACUCACAACUUCCUAUAACUCCAGCUUCAGGGAGAAUCUGAUGCCCUCUUCUGGCCUCUGUGGGCAUUACACUCAUAUGCAGAUACCCAUAGAGGCCUACAGAGACACAUAUGUAAAAAAAAAUCAUCUUUUCAAAAACUAUUAUUAAUUGAUCUUAAAAGGCUUUAGUUUUGAUAAUGCCCAGGUCCAACAGGUUUAUAUGGUUUGUAAUCUGAGAUUUAUUUCCUACCUUAAUUCCUGAAGAUGGUUUUCUCCUAUUAUUUGUAAAAGUUAUAUAUUUUCACAUUUGAAUUUGACCAAUAUUAAGUGUUUAUGUGUUCUGGUGUUGUUCAAGGUGCUGGAAAGAUAGAUGUCACCAAGUCCUCCGGCACCCUUCAUCCUCUGAUGAGGAAAUCAGGUGAAGACACCAGAAUAUCUAUCGGUGAUGGAACCUAUAAGGGGUGGAUGAAGGACAGCUAGCAAGAGAGGGAUUAGGAAAGGACUCCUAGAAUUCUGAAUGAAGAGGAGCCAGCAGCAUUUGUAAAGCAAAGGAAGAGUGUUUCCAGCCACAGGAAGAGGCAAGACAGAGACUCAGAGAUGCAGAGGUUAUUAUUAAAAAAUAAUAAUAAAUUAAAAAAAAAAGCUGCA
rnacentral:lncRNA from 1 species